UGGGGAAUAUUGGGCAAUGGGCGAAAGCCUGACCCAGCCACGCCGCGUGAGUGAUGAAGGCCUUCGGGUCGUAAAGCUCUGUGGGGAGGGACGAACAAGCCUGUGGCUAAUAUCCACGGGCCCUGACGGUACCUCCUUAGCAAGCACCGGCUAACCCUGUGCCAGCAGCCGCGGUAAUACAGGGGGUGCAAACGUUGCUCGGAAUUAUUGGGCGUAAAGCGCACGUAGGCGGUCUGUUAUGUCGGAUGUGAAAGCCCUUGGCUCAACUGAGGAAGUGCAUCCGAAACUGGCAAGCUAGAGUAUGUAAGAGGGUCGCGGAAUUCCCGGUGUAGAGGUGAAAUUCGUAGAUAUCGGGAGGAACACCGGUGGCGAAGGCGGCGACCUGGGACAAUACUGACGCUGAGGUGCGAAAGCGUGGGGAGCAAACA
rnacentral:rRNA from 1 species